GCUAGAUUGAUGGCGAGUGGCGAACGGGUGAGUAAUACAUCGGAACGUGCCCUGUAGUGGGGGAUAACUAGUCGAAAGAUUAGCUAAUACCGCAUACGACCUGAGGGUGAAAGUGGGGGACCGCAAGGCCUCAUGCUAUAGGAGCGGCCGAUGUCUGAUUAGCUAGUUGGUGAGGUAAAGGCUCACCAAGGCGACGAUCAGUAGCUGGUCUGAGAGGACGAUCAGCCACACUGGGACUGAGACACGGCCCAGACUCCUACGGGAGGCAGCAGUGGGGAAUUUUGGACAAUGGGGGCAACCCUGAUCCAGCAAUGCCGCGUGUGUGAAGAAGGCCUUCGGGUUGUAAAGCACUUUUGUCCGGAAAGAAAUCGCACUUACUAAUAUUAGGUGUGGAUGACGGUACCGGAAGAAUAAGGACCGGCUAACUACGUGCCAGCAGCCGCGGUAAUACGUAGGGUCCAAGCGUUAAUCGGAAUUACUGGGCGUAAAGCGUGCGCAGGCGGUUGUGCAAGACCGAUGUGAAAUCCCCGGGCUUAACCUGGGAAUUGCAUUGGUGACUGCACGGCUAGAGUGUGUCAGAGGGGGGUAGAAUUCCACGUGUAGCAGUGAAAUGCGUAGAGAUGUGGAGGAAUACCGAUGGCGAAGGCAGCCCCCUGGGAUAACACUGACGCUCAUGCACGAAAGCGUGGGGAGCAAACAGGAUUAGAUACCCUGGUAGUCCACGCCCUAAACGAUGUCAACUAGUUGUUGGGGAUUCAUUUCCUUAGUAACGUAGCUAACGCGUGAAAUUGACCGCCUGGGGAGUACGGUCGCAAGAUUAAAACUCAAAGGAAUUGACGGGGACCCGCACAAGCGGUGGAUGAUGUGGAUUAAUUCGAUGCAACGCGAAAAACCUUACCUACCCUUGACAUGCCACUAACGAAGCAGAGAUGCAUUAGGUGCUCGAAAGAGAAAGUGGACACAGGUGCUGCAUGGCUGUCGUCAGCUCGUGUCGUGAGAUGUUGGGUUAAGUCCCGCAACGAGCGCAACCCUUGUCUCUAGUUGCUACGAAAGGGCACUCUAGAGAGACUGCCGGUGACAAACCGGAGGAAGGUGGGGAUGACGUCAAGUCCUCAUGGCCCUUAUGGGUAGGGCUUCACACGUCAUACAAUGGUGCAUACAGAGGGUUGCCAAGCCGCGAGGUGGAGCUAAUCCCAGAAAAUGCAUCGUAGUCCGGAUCGUAGUCUGCAACUCGACUACGGAAGCUGGAACCGCUGUAAUCGCGGAUCA
rnacentral:rRNA from 1 species